rnacentral:rRNA from 1 species
GAUGAACGCUGGCGGCGCGCCUAAUACAUGCAAGUCGAGCGAAUGGAUUAAGAGCUUGCUCUUAUGAAGUUAGCGGCGGACGGGUGAGUAACACGUGGGUAACCUGCCCAUAAGACUGGGAUAACUCCGGGAAACCGGGGCUAAUACCGGAUAACAUUUUGAACCGCAUGGUUCGAAAUUGAAAGGCGGCUUCGGCUGUCACUUAUGGAUGGACCCGCGUCGCAUUAGCUAGUUGGUGAGGUAACGGCUCACCAAGGCAACGAUGCGUAGCCGACCUGACAGGGUGAUGGGCCACACUGGGACUGAGACACGGCCCAGACUCCUACGGGAGGCAGCAGUAGGGAAUCUUCCGCAAUGGACGAAAGUCUGACGGGGCAACGCCGCGUGAGUGAUGAAGGCUUUCGGGUCGUAAAACUCUGUUGUUAGGGAAGAACAAGUGCUAGUUGAAUAAGCUGGCACCUUGACGGUACCUAACCAGAAAGCCACGGCUAACUACGUGCCAGCCGCCGCGGUAA